AGCGUAGGUGGCCUAACAUGUCAACUGUGAAAACCCGGAGCUCAACUCCGGACUUGCAGUUGAAACUGGUAGGCUUGAGGACGGUAGAGGAAGGCGGAACUGCCAGUGUAGGGGUAAAAUCCUUAGAUAUUGGCAGGAACGCCGGUGACGAAGGUGGUUUUCUGGGCCGGUUCUGACACUGAUGCUCGAAAGCCAGGGGAGCGAACG
rnacentral:rRNA from 1 species